rnacentral:rRNA from 1 species
GUCUACGGCCAGGCCACCCUGAACAAGCCCGAUGUCUGAUCUCAGAAGCUAAGCAAGAUCGGGUCUGGUUAGUACCUGGAUGAAAGAUCACCUUUGAAGACCAGGUGCUGUAGGCA